CUUUUUGCGGUUUGGGCUUUC
rnacentral:miRNA from 1 species